rnacentral:rRNA from 1 species
AGCUCCAAUAGCGUAUAUUAAAGUUGUUGCAGUUAAAAAGCUCGUAGUUGGAUUUCUGACGGGAGAGACCGGUCGGCGCCCUUUGGGCGUGUGCACUGUUGUCUGCUCCCGUCAUCCUUGCGGAGAGCGCGUGUGCCCUUAAUUGGGUGGGCGCGGGAUCCGCAACGUUUACUGUGAAAAAUUAGAGUGUUUAAAGCAGGCGAUCGCUGUGAAUACAUUAGCAUGGAAUAAUAAGAUAGGACUUUGGUACUAUUUUGUUGGUUUGCGCACCAAGGUAAUGAUUAAUAGGGAUAGUUGGGGGUAUUCAUAUUCAAUUGUCAGAGGUGAAAUUCUUGGAUUUAUGGAAGAUGAACUUAUGCGAAAGCAUUUACCAAGGAUGUUUUCA